rnacentral:rRNA from 1 species
AUGCCCAGCAAUAUCAUCAAUUCAACAAGCAGUUACUCGAAAUUCCAUCGCCCCAAAUGGCAUAGGAUACCUCGGGCGUCCAACUUCUGGCAUAAGUUUUUGUGCAUUCAAAAAUUUAGGAACCUGAACCACAAGGGCAAAUGGAAGGCACCUUUGAUCGGUAAUCCAGAGUACAUGGAUGAUUCUUACACCUAUGCUUUUGAUAGGCUGAUGCACACUGGCGUUGAGCCAAGGUAG